rnacentral:rRNA from 1 species
UACGUAGGGGGCAAGCGUUGUUCGGAAUUACUGGCGUAAAGGGCUCGUAGGCGGCCAACUAAGUCAGACGUGAAAUCCCUCAGCUUAACUGGGGAACUGCGUCUGAUACUGGAUGGCUUGGAUCGGGAGAGGAAUGCGGGAAUUCCAGGUGUAGCGGUGGAAAUGACGUAGAUAUCUGGAGGAACACCGGUGGCGAAGGCGGCAUUCUGGACCGACAUUGACGCUGAGGAGCGAAAGCCAGGG